AGGAUGAACGCUGGCGGCGUGCUUAACACAUGCAAGUCGAACGAAGCACUCUAUUUGAUUUUCUUCGGAAAUGAAGAUUUUGUGACUGAGUGGCGGACGGGUGAGUAACGCGUGGGUAACCUGCCUCAUACAGGGGGAUAACAGUUGGAAACGACUGCUAAUACCGCAUAAGCGCACAGGAUUGCAUGAUCCGGUGUGAAAAACUCCGGUGGUAUGGGAUGGACCCGCGUCUGAUUAGCCAGUUGGCAGGGUAACGGCCUACCAAAGCGACGAUCAGUAGCCGACCUGAGAGGGUGACCGGCCACAUUGGGACUGAGACACGGCCCAAACUCCUACGGGAGGCAGCAGUGGGGAAUAUUGCACAAUGGGGGAAACCCUGAUGCAGCGACGCCGCGUGAGCGAAGAAGUAUUUCGGUAUGUAAAGCUCUAUCAGCAGGGAAGAAGAAUGACGGUACCUGACUAAGAAGCACCGGCUAAAUACGUGCCAGCAGCCGUGGUAAUACGUAUGGUGCAAGCGUUAUCCGGAUUUACUGGGUGUAAAGGGAGCGCAGGCGGUGCGGCAAGUCUGAUGUGAAAGCCCGGGGCUCAACCCCGGUACUGCAUUGGAAACUGUCGUACUAGAGUGUCGGAGGGGUAAGUGGAAUUCCUAGUGUAGCGGUGAAAUGCGUAGAUAUUAGGAGGAACACCAGUGGCGAAGGCGGCUUACUGGACGAUAACUGACGCUGAGGCUCGAAAGCGUGGGGAGCAAACAGGAUUAGAUACCUUGGUAGUCCACGCCGUAAACGAUGAAUACUAGGUGUCGGGGAGCAUUGCUCUUCGGUGCCGCAGCAAACGCAAUAAGUAUUCCACCUGGGGAGUACGUUCGCAAGAAUGAAACUC
rnacentral:rRNA from 1 species